rnacentral:lncRNA from 1 species
CAUUCAUGGAUUUUAAAUGCAGACUAAGAGAGCUUUCCUUAAGCAGCCAGAGGUUUUCCUUUGGUAAGAAACUUUUCUUCCCUCUAAUCUGGUAAUUCAAGACUCCUAGGGAAGCUCUUGAAUGUCUGACUCUCUAAUCAGUUCCAUCUUUCUAGAGGUAACAGAGAUUUUUUUUUCAGAGGACUCUUCUUUUCUUUUCAAUGAUUUAACUUUAUCUAAUAUGCCAUAG